GAGCUUUGGUGGGAGGUGACGUUC
rnacentral:piRNA from 1 species